AGCUCCAAUAGCGUAUAUUAAAGUUGCUGCAGUUAAAAAGCUCGUAAUUGGAUUUGUGGCGCGACCGUCCGACGGAACUCCUUCAUUAAAACCGUUUGUCUGGUUUUUCGACCACUCCAUUCUCAAAUAAUGUGUCGCUAACAUUAAAUUGUCGGCUUCUUCACGCCCAUCGUUUACUGUGAAAAAAUUAAAGUGUUCAAAGCAGGCUUAGGCCAUUGGAUACAUUAGCAUGGAAUAAUGAGAUAGGGCCACGACGGUCUAUUUUGUUGGUUUGCACGUUGUGGUAAUGAUUAACAGGAACGGUUGGGGGUAUUCGUAUUCAAUUGUCAGAGGUGAAAUUCUUGGAUUUAUGGAAGACGAACUACUGCGAAAGCAUUUACCAAGGAUGUUUUCAUUAAUC
rnacentral:rRNA from 1 species